rnacentral:rRNA from 1 species
AAACCAAUUUAAUUUGGCGGCAUUUCAUCUAUUUAGAGGAAUUUGUCCUUUAAUCGAUAAUCCACGUUAAAUUUCACUUUAAUCCAAAAAUUUAUAUACCUCCAUCUUAAGAAUUAACCGAUAUAUCUUCUCUAAAUACAUUAUAAUAAGUUAGGUCAAGGUAUAAUCCAUAUUAAAGAUUUAAAUGAAUUACAUUAAACAUUAUUUCAAGAAUAUAUAUAUAUAUAUUUAUAUAAAUAAGAAUUUAAAAGUAAUAUUUAAAUAAUAAUUCAAUAUGAUAAAGAUAAUAAAUGUGUACACAUCGCCC